GAUGAACGCUGGCGGCGUGCCUAAUACAUGCAAGUCGAGCGAACGGACGAGAAGCUUGCUUCUCUGAUGUUAGCGGCGGACGGGUGAGUAACACGUGGAUAACCUACCUAUAAGACUGGGAUAACUUCGGGAAACCGGAGCUAAUACCGGAUAAUAUUUUGAACCGCAUGGUUCAAAAGUGAAAGACGGUCUUGCUGUCACUUAUAGAUGGAUCCGCGCUGCAUUAGCUAGUUGGUAAGGUAACGGCUUACCAAUGCAACGAUGCAUAGCCGACCUGAGAGGGUGAUCGGACACACUGGAACUGAGACACGGUCCAGACUCCUACGGGAGGCAGCAGUAGGGAAUCUUCCGCAAUGGGCGAAAGCCUGACGGAGCAACGCCGCGUGAGUGAUGAAGGUCUUCGGAUCGUAAAACUCUGUUAUUAGGGAAGAACAUAUGUGUAAGUAACUGUGCACAUCUUGACGGUACCUAAUCAGAAAGCCACGGCUAACUACGUG
rnacentral:rRNA from 1 species